UAUGUUUCAAAAAGUUGGCACUUUGCCUUGGCAAAUAGCUUGAAGAUAAAAGAAAGUUUAUUCCUGUAAUUCUCCUCAGAUGAAUUCUUGUAAUUUAGAAUAUCUUGAAUGGAGUUCCAGAUACAAUUUUCUAUCCUUGAAGUCGUGUGACAUAUCCAAAAAUUUUCCACCAAAGUUAACUGUUAAAGCUGAGCCAUUUCUCCUAUGAAUGCCACAAGAACUUGUGCUUUUGAAUUAACAGAUGACAUCAUUGGCAUCUGUGGAUGUGUGGAGAUUGCUGAAGAUUUUUUGUGUAUUAGCUGGGAUUAGCUUUAGUAUUAAUUUUCGGCUGAUUUUUAAUAAUAGUGAAAUUGAUAAGAACUAGUUGUUUUCAAGCUGGAGUUUAGAAAGUUAAAAUGUGCAUGUCUUUCAAAUAUGAUCUUAAUUCAAAUCUAUACAUCUCCUGCUCCUGGCAUCUUCCCAUGACUCUUGGGAGGAGAGAAUGAAAACAUAUUAUUUUAAGGAGUAUUUGGUUCUUAUUAAAAUUACACAUACGCCCGCCUUCAAAAGAAUCUUGAUUUACUGCAGGUUGUUCAUGUGUCGCAUGCAGACAUUUUUAGAGAACAGAUUUCUUAUCACUGUGAACAGUGAAUGGCUUCCAGUGCUCCACGAUCAGUGCGCAAAAAUGUUAUAUCCAUUGUAAAAGAGCAUCUUUUGGAAAACAAGAACUCAGACAGACUGGCACAGGCUGGAGCUCCGCCAAGACUGCUCGGGAAGGUUGCCAUGCUGGGAGCGAGCGAGCGAGAGAGCGAGCGAGCGAGAGAGCCGAGGAAAGAAAAAAAGGCAAGACUUGGCACGGCUCAGUCAAAUCAGCUUCUUUUGUCUGCUUUCUCGGCUUGAGCUUCAGGAAAGAAAACCGUCCUGGGGUACAGAAAAACUCAGAACUUUUUGGUUUUCAAACUUGGAUAGCUUUUUAAGUCUCUUGGGCUGUUUGAAAGUGGUGGUACAUUAAAUGACGUUCAGUUACCAGUGAUAAGAGAAAUAAAAAGACUUCUUUAAUGAAGCCUCCACAAUGUCAGUUUAUACAUAUGGGAAAUACGAUAUUUGAUUUUUUAUUUUUUUUUGUAUGUCUGAUUAAACUGUAAGGGAGCCGAGUAACUUGGAAGAUUACAGAGGGAAUACCUAAAUAAAAGGGAGAAUUUCAAUUUUUUGCAACAAAAAAAAGUUUUCAUCGACAUGAACAUGCUUUAAAACCAAAUCUGACCUCCUUCGGAAUAUGUUGAGAAUGGGAAUUUCAGCGUUUCUCUCAUAUGUGCUACAGACACGAACUUUUACUGGAACCUCCUUAAAAGAUUUCAUCUGACCCAGCAAAGAAGUAAGAGUAGAGAGAAAGUUGUGACAUCUUAAUAUAAAAGUAAGUAUGUUCUUAAAGCAACAAUAUUUAUUUUUGCUGCUUCAUGCUGUCCUAGCUCCAUCUCCCAGCUAUUAGUGACAACACUGAAGACCAGCAGGGCAAGCCGAAGACACCCAGACUACGCCUGAAGGGCACAAAAAAGAAACGAAAGCAUGGUUAUUUUGCUACUGCUCUAUAAACAUUUCUCCCAGUGCAUCUUACUAGGGAGCAUAUGAAAUUGCUGAAUUUUCGAGGAAAUAAGAGAUGGAAAAGUAUUGACUUCUGCCAAGUCAGGAAUGUUUGAAGAUGACAGAGCUGGAUUUGAACUGAUGACACUGGAUAUAGAAACUUCAGUUUGUAGUUACAGUACCUGUUUGCUGUAAAUUGUGAAAAAAUCUGCUCUUUUCUCAUACCUGGAUUAAAAAAAUCUGUGACGA